GACUAACGCUGGCGGCGUGCCUAACACAUGCAAGUCGAGCGGGGUAGCAAUACCCAGCGGCAGACGGGUGAGUAACACGUGGUCAACCUUCCCGACAGAGGGGGAUAACUAGCCGAAAGGUUAGCUAAUACCGCAUACGAUCUAUGAGAGGCAUCUCUUAUAGAUGAAAGGAGCAAUCCGCUUUCGGACGGGACCGCGUCCCAUUAGCUAGAUGGUGGGGUAAUGGCCUACCAUGGCGACGAUGGGUAGCUGGUUUGAGAGAGCGACCAGCCGCACUGGGACUGAGAAACGGCCCAGACUCCUACGGGAGGCAGCAGUGAGGAAUUUUCCGCAAUGGACGAAAGUCUGACGGAGCGACGCCGCGUGUGGGAAGAAGGCCUUCGGGUCGUAAACCACUGUCGAAGGGGACGAUAAUGACGGUACCCUUGGAGGAAGCCCCGGCUAACUACGUGCCAGCAGCCGCGGUAAUAC
rnacentral:rRNA from 1 species